GACAGAGGUGCCGAGCGUUAGGCGGAAUCACUGGGCUUAAAGCGUGUGUAGGCGGGUCGUUAAGUGCCUUGUGAAAUCCCACAGCUCACCUGUGGAACUGCUUGGCAUACUGGCGAUCUUGAGCCACUUAGGGGCAACCGGAACAAACGGUGGAGCGGUGAAAUGCGUAGAUAUCGUUUGGAACGCCGAAGGUGAAAACAGGCUGCUGGGGUUGCGGCCUGACGCUGGAGACACGAAAGACCCAGGGGGAGCAAAACGGGG
rnacentral:rRNA from 1 species